AAGGGUGGGAUUUUCAAAAGCUCUCAGAAUUGACCUCUCUCUUUCACUUCAAUGGGAGCAGAGUUAGGUCAGUACUGAGUGCUGUUGAAAAUUCUGCCUCAAAUGCUUUGCUGAAUUAAGGCCUUUGUUUCUUUUUUUGUUCCAUCCCUUUUUCUCUCUUUAACUCACUUUCACUUCUCUGACACUUCUCACACACCCUGUUUCCUACUAACCUUUCCUCUUUCACUCAGCUUCCUAUUAACCUUUCCUCACUGACUCUCCCCUACCUUUCUUCCCUUUGUGGCUGUCACUACACUUUUUUCAGUUAGUGCCUUUUUCACUGGUUGCCUGAAUCUAACUGCCAUAGAACCUUUUGAUUUCAACUCUGCCUCUUCUGCUGAAGAAAUACAAGCCAAAAAUGUUCAGCUACAGCAGAAUAGUGAGGAAAAAAAAUCAAUGCAUGUGUAGUUUGUAAGAGGGCAAAGCAGGACAUAAAAGAUAUAAAAAGUUAUUUCACGUAACAGAAUUAAAUGCUAGUUCUAUUCAGUAACAGGAAUUUCUGGUGGUUGUUUAAUAUCCAUUGUCUUCUUAAAAAGUUAGUGCACAUUGAAAAUAUUUCAUUGAAUGAAUGUGUAUCACUGAACCUUUUUUUAGGUCUAGGGAGAGGCUAAGUGGGAGUGGAAGAGAAGCAGGAAGUUACAGAGAAAGUGGUGAAGUGCAGUGCAUUCUAUAGGCCUGUUGCCUGUUAACUGCAGUCUUGGUGAAUAUCAAAAAAAGGUAAUCUGAACUGCACUUCUUUUAUUUUGCACCUUCAUGAAGGGACAUAUAAUUAGGGCCCUGUAUACUCUGCGGCACAGAAGGACCAAAUUCUAUGGAAACAAUCCUGAAGGCUCUGGAUUAAUGUAUUCCAUAAGUAUGGAAUACCUUUCAUUCUAAUCCCCCUGUCAUACUACAAACACACAUGGGUGGCUCAUCACUGAAAACGCUAAUUGACGUAAAAUUAAUUGAUGAUUAUUUUUUUGCAAUUAUUUUUGAGAAUGGAUUUUUUUUGCUAGGGUUUUCAGAUGGCCCAGCUCCAAUCCUAGGCAUUGAUUCCCAUGAUAUUUUCUUAGCAGCCUGGUUUAGAACCACCUUCUUUCCAUCCCUGUCAGAGAAAAAGGGUUUGUGGCUGGCUUCAGUGUCUCAUUUACCUGGCUCCCUAGGCCUUGGCUGCUGUGCUGUUCUCUACUCUAACAAGCUCACCAAGCUAUACUUUUGGCUCUCUCCACUCUCUGAACUGCAAACUGGACUUCAGCUCUUAGACACACUCUGCUGCCUAGCUCCAUGGAACAGUGUAGGAAGCAUGCACAAUAAUCCACUUAAUCGGCUUUUUUUUAGGGAAAGAUGGAGAGCAAAAGGUUACUGAAAGCAGCAGGGCAAUGAGACGGACCACAAAAUUUUGGGUGGCUGUCUCCAGAAAUAGACCAAAUUCCAUGCCAUCUUGGUAAAAUGCCAAAGUCUGUGGGUGCAGAAUCAUAGAAUCCAAGGGGCCCUGACUGCAAGGAAUAGGGCACAUCACACCUCUCAGAGCUAUUGUUUCAGGUUCUUUGCAGAUUCAGGCAGGAAACAUUGCAUCAGUUUACAUUCAUUUGAUGUUUUGGAAGCUGUCUCUACAACCAUAACAAUUAGAAAUAAGGCCAAGAUUUCACCCAUAGUUUUUUUUAAAUGGAAGUUUAGAUUCUGCAGCACAGUUCUGUGGAAAGGGGUGAAUUCCUCAGCCAUGGAAUCACAGAAUGCUCAAGGCUCUGCAUAUGACAUGUUACUGAAUUAAAAAAAUACUCCUCACUAUCACAGUGAUUGGUCUCAAAUUUAUAGGAGCCAAACUGCCUUAAACCCAGGACUCUGGAUUUGUUGGGAUUGUGAAAGUGGGCACACAUUUUAUCUGCUUCAUUGCUCACUCACAGGAGAGAUGGCAGGGGAUAGAAAACUUUGAUAACUUUGGACUCUGAUCUCUGUAGAACAUAGGAUUCUUGUCAGUUUAAUUUUUUUGUCUGCUCACAAGAAUAGAGCCAGCAGACGAACAGAUAAAUAGUAUGGUAUCUGUGAUUCCAACAGAAUUGUGUUUAUAUUAUGAAUGUAUUUAUAUUUACUUCUAGUUUAUGAACUGGUUUCUUAAGUCUUGUAGCUUUUGUUUUUGAGAACUAGUUCUCUAUUACUAGUUACUUCUGUAUCUGUGUGCAUGUGUAAAAAGAGGAGACACCUUUCCCUCUGCAAGUUUCUAGGAGUGUCAAAUUUGAAGGCUAGACUCAUGAUGGCUAUUGACAGUGUCCCUUGUCCAUUACAAACCUGUUUUUAAAGAGUUUGUAGUUUAUAUAUAUAUGAACAUGAUCACUGUUGAUGUUUCCCUGAAUGGACUCAACCUAGAAGUGUUCUUUAAAAAAAAACCCUGAAUGUAAGUUCUGUGUGAACAGGGAAUGAGAUAUGUUUAUUUGUUUAAAAUGACUUUUUGCACUUCUUGUAUCUUAAACAUCUUUGAUUUAAAAGCUUAAUUUUAGCAAAUAAUCAACAAUACUUUGUUUUCAUAAGAAUUUUUGUUUAAAAGGCCAACAAAUUUAACUUUAAAAAGUGGCUGGUCCUAAACUGAUUUUCAUGGCAAUUUUUUAUUACAUAUUUUCUAAGGCCCUGAUCUUGGAAGCUGCUUGAUACUGUCCCCUGCGCCAGCAUGCAGCCCAUUGACUUCUUUGGGACUCCGGACUGGCUCAGGGAUCUGCCUGCAUAGUUCAGCUUCCAGGCUCAGAAUCUAAAUAGGUAUUUGCACAAUAAUCCAAAGAAACAAGGGUCGUUAAUGAUUACAAAAUGUGUUAAAAUGUGUCAAAAUAUAUAUUUGUACCAUAUAACAGUGAAGGCUUCCUGAAUGUUAAUGAAUAUUAUAUCAGUUAAUGUACAUAUCCUUAAGAUUUUUUUCAAACCCACAUUUAAAAAAAAGAGAAUUAAAUAAAAAACAAAUACUAAAACUGAUAUGCAAAUGAAAAAAAAUCAUAAAUACUACACUUAAUCAGGCUGUGAGAAGACACAAGAGCACAUUAAUAAUUAAUUUUUAUCUCCCUACCUAUUUUUGCAGGUGUGUGAAGGAGCUUUCAUUAUUGUAAUUUCUACAUAAGCCCAGAUCCUGCAGUUGACUCUGUGUGGGUGGGACUCUAUUGAAGUCAAUGAGACUCCACACUGGGGAUGGGUUCUCCUCAUGAGAAGUCAGUUGCAUGGUCGGGAUCCUAGUUUGACGCCUCAGGGUGCAUUCCGGAGCCUGCUUACCAAGAUAAUCUGUCUCAAAGCUCUUUUAGACAUUUUGGGUGAGAUUCUGCACUGCUCCUCUAAGAGACACAGCACAGUGUUCACAACCCAGGUGGGUCUGAGGUAGGUUUAAACCACUUUUGUGCCCUCUCAAUCCUGGGAUGCUCCACAGCCCCUGGCAUAAUGCAGACAGUCUCAGAGGCCUAAAUUAUGACAGUCUCCUUGAGCAGCCCUCUGAGCCACAGUGCUGCACAGAAUCUCUGCAAUGUUUAAUCUCAACCUCUGACAUAUCCUCCCACCUCCAGUCAUGCCAUCCUGCUCCAGGGCUUUGGAGGGGGUCCUCAGAAGGCAGCCUUAUGACUGUCUUCCUCAGUUCCUGUGCCAGGGGUAUUCUACCCUGGCCAAGUAAGAGCCUCUGUACACUUUUCUGACCCUUUUAGAGCCUCUAUACACUUUUCUGACCCUUUUACCCAGCAUAAAGGGCCAGAGCAUAGGGUGUCACCCAUUGUAACUUUGAAAAUGUCUUUCUGGAGAUGUGACACACUAUGAGCUCCCUUCUCAGGGGGAGCUUUGAAUCCAGAUCCUUUCCAGACGACCUAGCUCUGUGAUCUUUAAUGGCCAUGGUUAACUCAACAAUCUGCUUCCCGCCCAAUGAGUUUUAUGUCAAAUAUACAGUUAAACAAAAUGUUCCUAAUUAUUUUAAAUUUGGUGGUGUAUUACACUUUCUAUGGCCCUUGUCACUGUAGUAUCUGAACAUCUUUCAAUAUUUAUGAAUUUAUCUUCACAAUACCCUUGUGAGGUACAAAAGUGUUAAUCAACUUCAUCUUAUAAUUUGGGAAACAGGUGCAGAGUGGCUAAGUGUCUUGCCAAAAGCCACACAUGGAAGUCUGGGAAAGAGCCAGGCAUAAAAUCCCAAUCUCAGCACUCAAACCUGUGUCUUGGCCACUAGACCACCCUUCCUCCAUCUUGAUGUUGAUGUAACAUCACAAGUAUAGUUCAGUUUGAAGUGUCAGACAGAGCUGUAGCCAGUAAUCUGCAACUUCUGAGGAGCUAAGGAAGUGGAGGUGAAGGGAACAAGGUUUACAUUCCUAAUGCAUCAGUUAACCCUGCUUAUUUGAGGAUAUUCAGCAAAUCAUAUUAAAGCUGUUGAUUCUUGAAUUUUAUAUUUGCAGAUCACCUUUGUCUACAAUGCUGAUACAUAUCCUAAUGUAAUGUUUUAUGGCUCUCAUAAGCAUGAAGCAUACAAACUCUAUGUCUAAGGUACUCUGAAAUUGCAUGGACUUAAUGCCAACCACUGUAAAGUCAUGGCUAUCACUGAACCCUGCUAGAGCCUAGAGCUGAUGCAUAAGGGCUAAAGUAUAUGACUUCCAUUAUAUGUCAUGGGUUUGUAAUUUUUUUUUUGUUUGCAAAACCAUACUGUUAAAUAAUAAUAAUUCCUGCCACUUACUGGCACAACUCUUGACCAGAAUCACAGUAGCUGUGAUGUUGCAGCAGAUCAAUGGUCCACUGACACAAAUUUUAGAAGUCUAAAAAGGGAAUUGGAAGGGGAGGUUAAUUUGAAAUUAGUCAUGUGCUGAAUGUCCCACUUAUGCUUAUUUAGCUGAGGUAAUCACAAGAAAAAAAAUAACUCUUUUAAAAAAUAAAGUUUGUAUUUUUUAGAAAACCCCCAGAGUAUUAUCUUGUAUGAACUCUGAACAUUUUGUAUUUUAACAUAAAAGUAAUUAAUAAUUACACACUGUACAUAUGGAAAUACAGGUUUGAUCCUCAUAAUAAAUUAAUACAAUUUAGCUUUCUUUAAUGUGUAUGCUACACGGUGGAUUCUAAAUUCCAGUGUAUUUUUUACAUUUAAAACAAAUGAGACUAUUUAUGAGGGUAAGGAUAUAUAUGUGUAAUACAGAAAGUAUGCAUAUUUUAUUUACUGAACACUAGUGCCUUCACACAACCUAUUUUUUGUUGACAUUUGUUUAUUUUCUCUGGGAGAAUGACAGAUCUGCAGCACAACAUAAUACCAAUCCAAAGGCCAGAGUUUCAGAGCAGACUGGAUUUCAGGUAAAUAGAAACUGAUCCCAUAGUGACAGUGAUGGCCCCACACUUCCUGCUUCAGCUUUUGAAAGACCUCCCCACCAGCUAAGUCAUUAAACCACUUCUUGUUUCCAGACACUGACAACUUUGGAAUUUAUUUUACACUGCUACCAUUCAGACUACUUACAAGGACAGAAUGAACUGUUGUAGGCCCAGAUUCUCCGAUGCACCAAAGCUCUGGUAAAUGUAGCAGAAUUGGGUAGCCAUCCAGUAGCUGGUUAUAGCUCUCUGAUCUUUGCCCAGCCCUGUCUCUGGUACAAGUUUGAGCACCAUAGGGGCAGCUCUAAUUUACCUAAGCUGACAUUGAUUCCUAAUUGACUGUCCACCAGCUGAAGAUAGCUGUAGUGCAGUGAUCUUUAGGCAUAUUUCCUAGGAUGGUGUUGCAAAAGUAACCUAUGAUGGCUCUUUGCCUGCUGGGACUUACCCACAUCAAGGGAAUCCUCAGCAAGUGAGAUAAUGGGCAGUUUUCAUUUUUUUGUCCCAAUUCUCAACUGUUUUUUAAUCAAAUCAGAAAUGAUGAAAUGCUUGGAAAACAGCACAUUAGAUUUCUUAUGAAGGUAUAUUAACAAGAAAACAACAAUAAUUUAUCUAAUUACGUAUAUGCUGAAACAUGUACAAAGUUAUCUACUUGGUUAAUGAAAGUUAGUGUAGUGUCAUUGAUAGCGAGUUACUGUUAUUAAUAUACCAUAAACUGAAAAGGUGUAUGUACUCCAAUCUUGUGCAAUAAAACAUUUGGAAA